ACUGCUCAGUAACACGUGGCUAACCUACCCUCUGGACGGAAAUAACCCCGGGAAACUGGGGAUAAUGUCCGAUAGGUGAAGAGGCCUGGAAUGGUUUUUCACCCAAAAGACGUUGGGACCAUGCUUUUCAACGUCGCCAAAGGAUGGGGCCGCGACCGAUCAGGCUGUUGGCGAGGUAACGGCUCACCAAACCUAUAACCGGUACGGGCCGCGGGAGCGGGAGCCCGGAGAUGGGCACUUAGACAAGGGCCCAGGCCCUACGGGGCGCAGCAGUCGCGCAAACUCUGCAAUACGCGCAAGCGUGACAGGGCUAUCCCGAGUGCCGUCCGCUGAGGAUGGCUUUUCUCUGGUGUAAUGAGCCGGAGGAAUAAGGAGAGGGCAAGUCUGGUGUCAGCCGCCGCGGUAAUACCAGCUCUCCGAGUGGUAGGGACGAUUAUUGGGCCUGAAGCGUCCGUAGCCGGCUAAGUAAGUUUCCCGUUAAAUCCAGCGAUCUAAUCGUUGGACUGCGGGAAAUACUGCUUGGCUAGGGGGCGAGAGAGGCCAACGGUAUUUCCGGGGUAGGGGUGAAAUCUUAUAAUCCCGGGAGGACCACCAGUGGCGAAGGCUGUUGGCUAGAACGCGCUCGACGGUGAGGGACGAAAGCUGGGGGAGCAAACCGGAUUAGAUACCCGGGUAGUCCCAGCUGUAAACGAUGUAGACUAGGUGUUAGAGCGGCUACGAGCCGCCCUAGUGCCGCAGGAAAGCCAUUAAGUCUACCGCCUGGGGAGUACGGCCGCAAGGCUGAAACUUAAAGGAAUUGGCGGGGGAGCA
rnacentral:rRNA from 1 species